rnacentral:rRNA from 1 species
GAUGAACGCUGGCGGCGUGCCUAAUACAUGCAAGUCGAGCGAACGGACGAGAAGCUUGCUUCUCUGAUGUUAGCGGCGGACGGGUGAGUAACACGUGGAUAACCUACCUAUAAGACUGGGAUAACUUCGGGAAACCGGAGCUAAUACCGGAUAAUAUUUUGAACCGCAUGGUUCAAAAGUGAAAGACGGUCUUGCUGUCACUUAUAGAUGGAUCCGCGCUGCAUUAGCUAGUUGGUAAGGUAACGGCUUACCAAGGCAACGAUGCAUAGCCGACCUGAGAGGGUGAUCGGCCACACUGGAACUGAGACACGGUCCAGACUCCUACGGGAGGCAGCAGUAGGGAAUCUUCCGCAAUGGGCGAAAGCCUGACGGAGCAACGCCGCGUGAGUGAUGAAGGUCUUCGGAUCGUAAAACUCUGUUAUUAGGGAAGAACAUAUGUGUAAGUAACUGUGCACAUCUUGACGGUACCUAAUCAGAAAGCCACGGCUAACUACGUGCCAGCAGCCGCGGUAAUACGUAGGUGGCAAGCGUUAUCCGGAAUUAUUGGGCGUAAAGCGCGCGUAGGCGGUUUUUUAAGUCUGAUGUGAAAGCCCACGGCUCAACCGUGGAGGGUCAUUGGAAACUGGAAAACUUGAGUGCAGAAGAGGAAAGUGGAAUUCCAUGUGUAGCGGUGAAAUGCGCAGAGAUAUGGAGGAACACCAGUGGCGAAGGCGACUUUCUGGUCUGUAACUGACGCUGAUGUGCGAAAGCGUGGGGAUCGAACAGAAUUAGAUACCCUGGUAGUCCACGCCGUAAACGAUGAGUGCUAAGUGUUAGGGGGUUUCCGCCCCUUAGUGCUGCAGCUAACGCAUUAAGCACUCCGCCUGGGGAGUACGACCGCAAGGUUGAAACUCAAAGGAAUUGACGGGGACCCGCACAAGCGGUGGAGCAUGUGGUUUAAUUCGAAGCAACGCGAAGAACCUUACCAAUCUUGACAUCCUUUGACAACUCUAGAGAUAGAGCCUUCCCCUUCGGGGGACAAAGUGACAGGUGGUGCAUGGUUGUCGUCAGCUCGUGUCGUGAGAUGUUGGGUUAAGUCCCGCAACGAGCGCAACCCUUAAGCUUAGUUGCCAUCAUUAAGUUGGGCACUCUAAGUUGACUGCCGGUGACAAACCGGAGGAAGGUGGGGAUGACGUCAAAUCAUCAUGCCCCUUAUGAUUUGGGCUACACACGUGCUACAAUGGACAAUACAAAGGGCAGCGAAACCGCGAGGUCAAGCAAAUCCCAUAAAGUUGUUCUCAGUUCGGAUUGUAGUCUGCAACUCGACUACAUGAAGCUGGAAUCGCUAGUAAUCGUAGAUCAGCAUGCUACGGUGAAUACGUUCCCGGGUCU